rnacentral:misc_RNA from 1 species
CAACCCUCAAGCCUGGCUUGGUGUUGGGGCUCUGCGCCUGCAGUCCCUUAAAUCCAGUGGCGGACACGCUAGGUCUCCGAGCGCAGUAGUUUCUUCUCGCUCAGGGCGUCCGGCGUGGGCUUGCCUCGCACCCAUCUUAUCAA